UACGUAGGGUGCGAGCGUUAAUCGGAAUUACUGGGCGUAAAGCGUGCGCAGGCGGUGAGCUGUGUCCGAUGUGAAAGCCCCGGGCUUAACCUGGGAAUGGCAUUGGAAACUGGCUCGCUGGAGUGUGGCAGAGGGGGGUGGAAUUCCGCGUGUAGCAGUGAAAUGCGUGGAGAUGCGGAGGAACACCGAUGGCGAAGGCAGCCCCCUGGGCUAACACUGACGCUCAGGCACGAAAGCGUGGGGAGCAAACAGG
rnacentral:rRNA from 1 species